UUAGAUUUGGUGGUUUCCAGCCCUGGCUCGGCAUUAGAACCACCCUUCUCAGGAAUAGACAUACUUGGAACUCCACCCCUGGGAAAAUUCUGAGCCUGUGGAUCUGGGGUGGGGCCAGGAUCUGCCUGUUAAAAAGGGUCCUCUGGUUAUUCUGAUGUUGGAGGGUCUCAGUGUUUGUGAAAUCAAACAAAUGAUUGAAUGUAAGGUAGAACGUAAGUCCUUGAUUUCUCUGGUCUCUAGGGUUCAGUGAGGGGACAUAAAAGGCUCCUUGGUAAAGUGGUCUCUUCUAGGAGGGUUGCUUGGGGGGUCCAAGAACUCAAAGCAUUUUCUCUUCUUAUCUCAUCUCUGCAGGUCCAGCCUUGCCCAUCAAAGCAGAUGGAAUGGAGAGGAAGUUCACCCUGGCUUCCUUUGCACUACCCCUGUGACCUAAGUCCUUGCCUUGCUUCUCCAGAGAUGACGGCCUGGCUGGGCCGCACCCUGCAGGCGCUCUUCCCCAGCGCAGAUGCCCUGCUGUGUCCUGACAGUCCCGCGUUACCCUCGAUCUGAAGGUGUGGAUAAUUAAGGUAAUGAACACUUUUCCACUAGCUGCUGAAAGCCUCAUUAAUCUACACACAUGUUGCCACAGGCAAAUUAUGGCGUCAAGGGUGGGAGGAUCAACAAAAAUAACUUCAGAAAUUCAUUAAUCAGACUUAGUCAAACAUGUAGUUUGGAACUGAGUGUUCUUAUCCUGCGAUGGUCAGAGGAUUAGAUUUUUUUUUUUUCCCAAAGACAUGAAAGGGACUUCUUAAGCAAUAUUUGGGAACAUCUAGGUUAUUGUACUGGCAUUUAUGACUCUGGUGGUUGAUGCUAAUGGAAUCUGUCCAAAGACUUCAGUGCGGAGGAUUCCAUAAAUGCUGAAUAUGCUACGGUGGAUGAUCAGGGUUUCUAAAUAUGGCAGAGGGAAAAAAAUGGUCAUGAGAUCACACAGAGAAACAUACCCAGUGAGGACGGAGAUGACUAAUGCCACCAAAUAUUCAUUUUCU
rnacentral:lncRNA from 10 species